rnacentral:rRNA from 1 species
CUGAUGCAGCCAUGCCGCGUGUGUGAAGAAGGCCUUCGGGUUGUAAAGCACUUUCAGCGAGGAGGAAAGGUCGGUAGCUAAUAUCUGCUGGCUGUGACGUUACUCGCAGAAGAAGCACCGGCUAACUCCGUGCCAGCAGCCGCGGUAAUAAGCCUGAUCCAGCCAUGCCGCG